ensembl:lncRNA
UUUUCUUUGUGUUUUAGCUUCCAUUACUACUAAAGAGAAAAUGUAAAUAUGAAGAGAAGUCCUCAUUGCUGCAGUCAUCUAGAUUACACGGGGGUUGAGAGGAAGGGUGGCCCUGAAAUGGUACUGAAGCACAAGUAAUGGUGAAAAAGAGAUAAAACCAUCCCAGCUAAGCUACUCACCUGGCAAGUACUGUGUUCCCAAGAAAGCCACAGAAAUGUCUUGAAGAAAGCAACGUAACCACUUUAGUGCUGGUGGUUUGGUGAACCUCACAGGGCGGCCUGCAGUCGGAUGUCAGCCAUACUUUCCAAACAACACGAGGACUGGUCAGUGGUUUGAGAUGAAAUGCAGCCAGGCUUGCUCUUUGGCUCCAGUGUGCCAAUAAGGACCACCUCUGAGACUGCAGGAUCUUGAAGGUUUAAAGGCCAUUCAGAUGAGACAGGACCAGUAGCCGGUAGAAGUAUCAGACCGUCAGUAUGUGAAAAGCAG